rnacentral:rRNA from 1 species
GCCUACGGCCAUACCACCCUGAAUGCGCCCGAUCUCGUCUGAUCUCGGAAGCUAAGCAGGGUCAGGCCUGGUUAAUACUUGGAUGGGAGACCGCCUGGGAAUACCAGGUGCUGUAAGCU